GUACACACCGCCCGUCACACCAUGGGAAUUGGGUCUACCGAAGGUGGUGCGCCAACUAUUUAUAGAGGCAGCCAACCACGGUAGGUUCAGUGACUGGGGUGAAGUCGUAACAAGGUAGCCGUAGGGGAACCUGCGGCUGGAUCACCUCCUUUCUAAGGAUGGUUUUAGCUGAAAGUUUACUUUCACGUAGAUCACUUUUUAGCAGCUCUUAAAUGAGCUUUAGUAGUCUUCGGACUACAUUAUAGACCGAACCGUCCUCAUAUCUCUUCAGUAAUAAUAAUUUUGCAGGUCAUCGAUCUGUUAAGGGUCGGUAGCUCAGGUGGUUAGAGCGCACGCCUGAUAAGCGUGAGGUCGGAGGUUCAAGUCCUCCUCGACCCACCAUAAAAUGGGGCGUUAGCUCAGCUGGGAGAGCACCUGCUUUGCAAGCAGGGGGUCAUCGGUUCGAUCCCGAUACGCUCCACCAUUUCCUUCAGAUUAUUAUAUCAACUCCGAUUAGAUCAUUAAGGACUGUAAGCAGUUUUUAAUCAUCCAAUCGGAUGGCGAACCUUCUGGUUUACUUUUACAUCGUUUAGAGAGCAUAUAAAACACGAGACGUAAGUUUCUUGUUUGGACCACUUCUUCGGAAAAGGUUAGGAAUUGAAUAUUUUGAGGCUGAAGAGCUUUGAGAGACUAGGUUGUUAGCUGGUUCGCAGUAUCAUAGGUAACUAUGAAGCAUAAUCAGACUAGGGUGACCAACCCACUGUGCGUGUGCUGUUGGUGAGCGUUCCAGUGCGGUUCGCAAGCUAAUUCAAAGAUAAUUUACAGUCUUUCCAAGUCAAAUACACUAACCAAAGUCACAGUGAAUUAGAUCUACUGUGACAUGAAGGGAUGCUCGAAAGAGCAUUCAUUCGCUGGAAUGUGCGUGACCUUCCUGCCAAGGGAGGGCUACAUUUGAGUUCAAAAUAAAAUGUUGUUUUUGCAAUUGCAAAACAAUGACGUGCCUAUCGCAAGAUAGGUGCUGAUGAACAAUUUUCUCAAAAAAAAUGACGACUUCUGUUCUAGAAAUAGUCUGACUAUUUCUGGAUCAGAUCAAGCGCGAGAAGGGCGUUUGGUGGAUGCCUUGGCAGUAAGAGGCGAUGAAGGACGUGAUACUCUGCGAUAAGCUUUGGGAAGUCGAGAAUAGACGCUAUACCCAAAGAUCU
rnacentral:misc_RNA from 1 species